GAUGAACGCUGGCGGCGUGCCUAAUACAUGCAAGUAGAACGCUGAAGGCGGAGCUUGCUCUUCUGGAUGAGUUGCGAACGGGUGAGUAACGCGUAGGUAACCUGCCUGGUAGCGGGGGAUAACUAUUGGAAACGAUAGCUAAUACCGCAUGACAACAGUUAUUGCAUGAUAACUGUUUAAAAGGGGCAACUGCUCCACUACCAGAUGGCCCUGCGUUGUAUUAGCUAGUUGGUGAGGUAACGGCUCACCAAGGCGACGAUACAUAGCCGACCUGAGAGGGUGAUCGGCCACACUGGGACUGAGACACGGCCCAGACUCCUACGGGAGGCAGCAGUAGGGAAUCUUCGGCAAUGGACGGAAGUCUGACCGAGCAACGCCGCGUGAGUGAAGAAGGUUUUCGGAUCGUAAAGCUCUGUUGUAAGAGAAGAACGAGUGGGAGAGUGGAAAGUUCACAAUGUGACGGUAUCUGACCAGAAAGGGACGGCUAACUACGUG
rnacentral:rRNA from 1 species